UGCACCGCGGUAAUAGGAGCCAGCGUACCGGCGUCCUUCCGCUAUUUUCAGCGGGUUCCUAGGGCGUACACUACCCUCCUCCCGCCGCCGCUGGCCCCAACCACUGCGCCCUCACGCCUCUGCUCGGAACCCCCUCCCGCAGAGGGGGGAGAGAGAGGGAGAGGGAUAGGGAGAGGGGGAACCGCACUAGGGCCGGAUCUCGUUGUCGCCGCCGCCGCCAGAGGGAGAUGAGGUAGUCAGGGGGAGGGAGGGAGGUGGCGGCGUUGGGAGGAUUGGGAGGCGGUGGCGGC
rnacentral:lncRNA from 1 species